rnacentral:rRNA from 1 species
CCUACGGGAGGCUGCAGUGGGGAAUAUUGGACAAUGGGGGGAACCCUGAUCUAGCCAUGCCGCGUGUGUGAAGAAGGCCCUCGGGUUGUAAAGCACUUUCAGUGAGGAAGAACGCCUGGUGGUUAAUACCCAUCAGGAAAGACAUCACUCACAGAAGAAGCACCGGCUAACUCCGUGCCAGCAGCCGCGGUAAUACGGAGGGUGCGAGCGUUAAUCGGAAUUACUGGGCGUAAAGCGCGCGUAGGUGGCUUGAUAAGCCGGUUGUGAAAGCCCCGGGAUCAACCUGGGAACGGCAUCCGGAACUGUCAAGCUAGAGUGCAGGAGAGGAAGGUAGAAUUCCCGGUGUAGCGGUGAAAUGCGUAGAGAUCGGGAGGAAUACCAGUGGCGAAGGCGGCCUUCUGGACUGACACUGACACUGAGGUGCGAAAGCGUGGGUAGCAAACAGGAUUAGAUACCCGAGUAGUC